rnacentral:tRNA from 1 species
UGGGCCCGUCGUCUAGCCUGGUUAGGACGCUGCCCUCACACGGCAGAGGUCCUGGGUUCGAGUCCCAGCGGGCCCAU